UCCCAUGGAUGUGCUGAUCCACUGUUAUCAGUGUACUCUGAAAAAGGGGAGUCAUCUGGCAAAAAUGUCACUUUGUCUCCUGUAUUCAAGGCUCCCAUUCCACCAGAUAUUGUGAACUUUGUUCACACCAACUUGCACAAAAACAACAGACAGCCCUAUCUUGUUAGUGAAUUAGCAGGUCGUCAGACCAGUGCUGAAUCUUGGGGUACUGGCAGAGUUGGGUCUCAAAUUCCCAGAGUUUGAGGUGGUGGGACUCACUCUUUUGGCCAGGGUGCUUUUGGAAAUAUCUGUCAUGGAGGCCACAUGUUUGCACCAACCAAAACCUGGCACUGUUGGCACUGUAGAGUGAACACAAUCCAAAAAACAAUAUGCUAUCUGUUCUCCCCUGGCUGCCUCUGCCUUACCAGUGCUGGUCAUGUCUACAGGUCAUCAUAUUAAGGAAGUUCCUGAACUUUUUUUGGUGGUCAGAGAUAAAGUUGAAGGCUACAAGACAAUCAAGGAGGCUGUUUUGCCACUUAAGCCUGGAGUGAUACAAAAAAGGGCUAUGCCUCUCAGCAAAUGAGAGCUGGCAAGGGCAAAAUGAGAAACCAUCGUAUCCAGCGCAAGGGACCCUGCAUCGUCUCUAAUGAAGAUGAUUGUAUUGUCAAAGCCUUCCGAAACAUUCCUAGAAUUAUUCUGCUUAAUGUAAGCAAACUGAACAUUUUGAAACUUGCUCCUGAUGGGCAUGUGGGACAUUUCUGCAUUUGGACUGAAAGUGCUUUCUAGAAGUUAGACAAUUGUGUGGCACUUGGUGUAAAGCUGUUUCCUCAAGAGUAACUGCAAUCUUUGCAUGCACAAGAUGAUCAAUACAGACCUUAGCAGAAUCUUGAAAAGCCCAGACAUCCAAAGCCCUUCAAGCACGUUGCAGGAAGAUUCAUCGUAGAGUCCUGGGGACAAACCUCCUGGAAAACCUGAAAAUCAUGUUGAAGCUAAACCCAUAUGCAAAGACCAUGCUCUGCAACACCAGGCUUUGCCAGGCCAGCAACCACAAACUCCAGGUGGAUAAGGCAGCGGCGGCGGUGGCAGCAGCAGCAGCAGCACCAGCACCAGCACCAGCAGCACCAGCAGCACCAGCAGCACUAGAGGCCAAAUCAGAUGAGAAAGGGGGUUGCAGUCAAGAAGCCUGUGGUAGGGAAGAAAGGAAAGAAGGUUGUUGUUUUUAAGCAGGAGAAACCUCUGGUGGGAAAAAGGGCAGCAGCUACCAACCAAGACAUCAGUAGCUGAAAAAAAAACCUACCACAGAGGAAACGAAGCCUGCUGCAUGA
rnacentral:lncRNA from 10 species